CCUACGGGGGGCAGCAGUAGGGAAUCUUCCACAAUGGGCGAAAGCCUGAUGGAGCAACGCCGCGUGGGUGAAGAAGGUCUUCGGAUCGUAAAACCCUGUUGUUAGAGAAGAAAGUGCGUGAGAGUAACUGUUCACGUUUCGACGGUAUCUAACCAGAAAGCCACGUCUAACUACGUGCCAGCAGCCGCGGUAAUACGUAGGAGCGAAGCGUUAUCCGGAUUUAUUGGGCGUAAAGGGAACGCAGGCGGUUUUUUAAGUCUGAUGUGAAAGCCUUCGGCUUAACCGGAGUAGUGCAUUGGAAACUGGGAGACUAGAGUACAGAAGAGGAAGGUGGAA
rnacentral:rRNA from 1 species